CGACGGACGGCCCAACGAGAAAAAAACAGCCCAGUCGCCCUAGGGGAGUCAGGGUUAGGGUGGCAGGAGGCGUGCAGGCGAUGGCCACCACGCAUCGGCAUCGACGCAUCGCGCCGCCUCGCGUCUCGGGCUCUCGGCGUCGUCGCUGCGCGCGACCGCGCCGGCUCGCCGCCUCCCGCCCCUGAGAGUGGAGACGGGGGCAGGCGACGCGACGCGACGCGACGCCGCCAUUCUGCCCCCGCCACCCCGCGCGCCGGCGCCGGGUCCCCUGGGCUCUCCGCCUCAGGCCUCAGCGCCUCGCUCGCCUUCGACUCCCUGUCCCUCUCCAGCUCUCUUGCUGCCCUGAGUGCAACGCCACUGACCCGCUGUGGUAACAAGACGUCGUCUGAAGAGAUAAAUCUAUUAAUCGUAGAACUGCUAGCUGGAUUGUGUUCUCUCUGUGGGAAAAAAAAAAACAUGAGGACAAUUCACUUAUUUCAAAGCUAUCACGUAUGCAUAAGUUUAAAGAGCAGAUUUGUUCAUCCUGGUUUGUCUCUGCUAGUGAUUACCCUCUUCUAUCUGAACGGGCAAUUUAUGGAGAAGUUAUUAGCUUCUAAUGGAUCCUGA
rnacentral:lncRNA from 1 species